rnacentral:rRNA from 1 species
GAUCCUGGCUCAGGAUGAACGCUGGCGGCGUGCCUAACACAUGCAAGUCGAACGAGGUAUUUUGAUUGAAGUUUUCGGAUGGAUUUCAAGAUACCGAGUGGCGGACGGGUGAGUAACGCGUGGGUAACCUGCCUCAUACAGGGGGAUAACGGUUAGAAAUGACUGCUAAUACCGCAUAAGCGCACAGUACCGCAUGGUACGGUGUAGAAAACUCCGGUGUAUGAGAUCGGACCCGCGUCUGAUUAG